UAUAGCGUAUAUAUUGAAAAAAAAGAAAAAAUAAACUUUAUAAAAUUGACUUUACGCUUACUACUACUACUAAUACAUUUUAUAUCGAUUUUGCUAAGUGGAGAAAAGGUCAAAUUUAUAUAGAAGAGAAACAAAAACUGCGUGAAAAAGAAAUUUGUUAAUUUAGAAAAAAAUAUUUACGCUUUCACAGGUUCACGUGGGAUUAGCUUUAUGCUGCAAUGAUGGCAAGGAUUCUUCUAACAUUCACUGAUUACGCAUGUGCUCGCGACCACAUUUAAAGUUGAGCCAAAUGAUGAGGGCGAUUAAAACAAAUAUUGAAAGGAGAGAUCGCAAAUGAUUUCCAUAAUAUGACAAGGAAUUUAAUUAAAUCUUUUAUGUUUCUGCUCGAACCAGAAAUAAAGAAAUCAACGUAAACAUAAACAACAAAUUUGUCGCUAAUAACAAUAAGGAAGCUUUGAAAUAAACGGUCUUCAUUGCUUGCGUUUCAUUACAAAAUAAUACAUGUCAGCCCCUUUAGUAAAUAUUUAUUAAGAGGGAAAAAUAUUGAAAAUGCAAGCGAUUGUUAUUGUAACAUGUUACAAAAUAAAUUGAAUACUUUCAAAUAUAUGUACAUAUGUAUAUAGUGAUGUAAUAAGUAAGUUACCUUAGUCAAGCUUUAUUUACGAAGUUCAGAGACACUAAUGUAAACGCUUUAUAUUAAUUUAAUGAAUUUUAAAAAAUCUGUUUUUUUAUGCUGUUGUUUAUUAUUUUGCUAAUUUCAUAAAUUAAUGGAACACUUAUAGUUUUCUAAAUUAACUAAGUUAAAUACAUUAGAUAGAGGAAAGUUGGAAGAAAAUCUUUUUAAGAUAUACCAAAAUCUUAAUAAUAAAUAAAGAAAUUAAAAAAGAAGAAA